rnacentral:rRNA from 1 species
AUGAACGCUGGCGGCGUGCCUAAUACAUGCCAGUCGCGCGAACAGACGAGGAGCUUGCUCCUUUGACGUUAGCGGCGGACGGGUGAGUAACACGUGGAUAACCUACCUAUAAGACUGGGAUAACUUCGGGAAACCGGAGCUAAUACCGGAUAACAUGUUGAACCGCAUGGUUCAACAGUGAAAGACGGUUUUGCUGUCACUUAUAGAUGGAUCCGCGCCGCAUUAGCUAGUUGGUAAGGUAACGGCUUACCAAGGCAACGAUGCGUAGCCGACCUGAGAGGGUGAUCGGCCACACUGGAACUGAGACACGGUCCAGACUCCUACGGGAGGCAGCAGUAGGGAAUCUUCCGCAAUGGGCGAAAGCCUGACGGAGCAACGCCGCGUGAGUGAAGAAGGUCUUCGGAUCGUAAAACUCUGUUAUUAGGGAAGAACAAAUGUGUAAGUAACUAUGCACGUCUUGACGGUACCUAAUCAGAAAGCCACGGCUAACUACGUG